CAGAGGGCGACCGGUAGCUAGGGGUCGGCGUAAAAUAUAUGGAAGUUAUCGUCAGUAUUAUCGAGUGAGAAUAAAAGGAAGUCGUUUGCGGACGGGAUCGACGCCCGAGUGGUAAUCUCCGGAGUGUCUCCGACCGUCGUCGUAUCUAAGGAACGGAGACUAACGGAGGACGAAUGUCGGAGAGCGCGGACACCAGCGAAGACAGCGCCGCUUCUCAGGACUGUCGGCGACGGACGGAGGGCGAAGACGAAGAGAAUUCGGGCAAGAGCGAGAGAAGUCGCAGUGCCCGCAUAGGGUUGUCCGGCCUGAAUCGAGACGGAAGAAGCGCUUUCUCCCCCUACAAACCAUCCACUGUUCUGACCAAUUUGCAAAGAGGGAAUGUCCAGACACAGACUGCCUGCCAACUUCCAGAAAGAAGCGUUCAUCAGUUAGCUGCUCAAGGUGAAUUGUUCAGUCAGCACUUUGGAGUAAAAAAGAAAAAGUCUAAGUGAAGAAGAAAAAUUAAACAAAACAUGCAAAAUAUGGAUUAAAAUGCAAUUGUAAUAGAAAUACAAGAGUAUACAUUGGAGAAACAGGAAGACAGUUAAAAAUACAAAUGAAAGAACAUGUAACAGCUUUAAGAUUUAAACAUCAGUGGUCACUGUGGACAAUAUGUCAAAAAUAAAUAAUUGUAAAAUAUUAUUAGAGUGAUGCCUCGUACUUUGAACUUUAUUCAUUCCGGGAGGUCGUUCAAAGUCUGAAGCAAUUUUUCCCCCAUAAGAAAUAAUGGAAAGGGAAUUAAUUCAUUCUCCAACCCUGAACAAUAUCCGUUUUGAUAAACUUAAAAUUGCAAAUACACAUAAUUUAAGGUAAAAAUAAUAC
rnacentral:misc_RNA from 1 species